GAGGGUAUAGCUCUGUGGUAGAUCGCAUGCUUAGCAUGCCCAAGGUCCUGGAUUCAAUCCCUAGUACCUUCA
rnacentral:tRNA from 1 species